rnacentral:lncRNA from 1 species
CCAGCCCCUCCGCGGCGGCCCCGCGCCCCGGCCUUCGCUGUGGCCCGUCCCGGGCCCGCUGCCCCACCGCCACCUCCUCCGCUGGGGCCCCGACUCACGGCCCGAGGGGCUCCUCCGGCGGUGGCUGGCGGCGCGACCCUCCCUCAGAGCACACAGACCAGCAGUCCCCGGGUCCGCCAGCUACGCGCCGGAUGUACGUCACGCCCCUCCCUGAGACUUCCGGGCACGCACGUGCCCCGCCCCCUCGACGCGUCACGCCGUCCGGGCUGUGGGUACCGCCCUAACAGCCACUCUGGCCGCGGAGAGGCGGGCCUAAGGAGUGACGUACGCUCGGGGUGAGGCUCCGCCCGCUCUGUGGAGGCUCUCAAGCGGGGUAUUUGGCCACAGCGACAUCAGAGACAAGAAGAGACACAGAUGAGAGACAAGCACAUGAAAGAUGCUUACCAUCCUUCGCCAUGGCAAAAAGUGAAAUUAAAAAGUCGAGGGGACAUUACUGUGCAUCUGAUGGAGACAUGAGGACCCGUAGGGCUUGCUGGCCAGCCAGUCUAGCCCAGUCAGUAAGCUCCAGGUUCCAUUGUGCCUGUGGUCUUCAAGAGCUCUGCACACCCACAGACAUAAAAAUAAAGUUCAGGUGAAAUAAAUGAGAGUGUGUACCAUAGGUCACUACCUGACACUUUUAGAGACGAGGAAACAGGGUUAGUGCCUGUAGCUUGCCUGAGUACAGAGCUGAUGAGACAGGCCUGGAUCCAAGCUGAGGAUUUCCUAGCUCCAAAGGCCAUGAACUCACUCACCUAAAACAGUUCUGGCUGGUACCUUUGGUGCAAGGCAAAUGACUUAAGGGUUCAGUUCACUGAUUGCAGAUUGUAAUUGUUGACUUCCACCUUCAGUAAAGAUUUCACUGUCUGCUAACAUAAUAGUAAUUUAAAAGUUUUUGCUUUCGAAUGGGAUGCUGGGAACUAGACAUGGAACAAGCCUUCUGUAUGUGCAAGAGGUUCCAUUCUCAGAUUCCUACAAACAGCUUGCUUUUUUUCAACAGGUACUCGAAAUGUUAUAU